rnacentral:rRNA from 1 species
AGAGUUUGAUCCUGGCUCAGGACGAACGCUGGCGGCGUGCUUAACACAUGCAAGUCGAGCGGAAAGGCCCUUCGGGGUACUCGAGCGGCGAACGGGUGAGUAACACGUGAGCAACCUGCCCCUGGCUCUGGGAUAGCCUCCGGAAACGGGGAUUAAUACCGGACAUUCACUUCCUUCCGCAUGGUUGGUGGUGGAAAGUUUUUUCGGCCGGGGAGGGGCUCGCGGCCUAUCAGCUUGUUGGCGGGGUAACGGCCCACCAAGGCGACGACGGGUAGCCGGCCUGAGAGGGCGACCGGCCACACUGGGACUGAGACACGGCCCAGACUCCUACGGGAGGCAGCGAGUGGGGAAUAUUGCGCUAAUGGGCGGAAGCCUGACGCAGCGACGCCGCGUGGGGGAUGAAAGGCUUUCGGGUUGUAAA